CAAAAUGGAGAGUUUGAUCCUGGCUCAGGAUGAACGCUGGCGGUAUGCUUAACACAUGCAAGUCGAACGGUCUUUUCGGAGAUAGUGGCGGACGGGUGAGUAACGCGUAAGAAUCUACCUUCAGGUUGGGGACAACCACUGGAAACGGUGGCUAAUACCCAAUGUGCCGAGAGGUGAAAGGCUUGCUGCCUGAAGAAGAGCUUGCGUCUGAUUAGCUAGUUGGUGGGGUAAGAGCCUACCAAGGCGACGAUCAGUAGCUGGUCUGAGAGGAUGAUCAGCCACACUGGGACUGAGACACGGCCCAGACUCCUACGGGAGGCAGCAGUGGGGAAUUUUCCGCAAUGGGCGAAAGCCUGACGGAGCAAUACCGCGUGAGGGAGGAAGGCUCUUGGGUUGUAAACCUCUUUUCUCAGGGAAGAACAAAAUGACGGUACCUGAGGAAUAAGCAUCGGCUAACUCCGUGCCAGCAGCCGCGGUAAUACGGAGGAUGCAAGCGUUAUCCGGA
rnacentral:rRNA from 1 species